AUUGUUAAUCAUCUCAUGGGUGAGGAACUGGAAGCUCAGAGAGGUGCAGUGAUUCACCCAAAGUCACACAGACAUUCAGUGGCAGAGCCAGGUCUGUGUUGUGCUGCUGGGAUAGUAUGUCCCCAGCAGGCAGGGGACACAACGGCAUUCGGGACUUGGAACAGGCCAGUGUUGUAGCAUGUCCAAAGAGCUAUCAGAUGAUGCUGGUGAGGAUAUGAGUGCUGUUUUCAAACAUCUGCAGGGCUUUAGUGUCUGGGAGGCGGUGACCCUGUUCUGAAUGUCCCCAGGGGUCAGCAGUGUGACCAAUAACGGCUGACAUACGACUGUGCUUGCUUUGAGCUCAGCACUGCUUGGAGCACUUCAGAGAGCCCUGUGCCCUGAUGAGGUAGGUCUAUUGUGACCUACGUGUCACACAGGAACAAACAGAAGUGCUCAAGGGUGCGCAGCUGGCUAAGCAGUGGGGCUGGGCCAGGCAGCCUGGCUCCAGCCUGUGCUCUCGACCUCUGUGCCAUCUCGACUCUCUGCCACAGGAAGGUCAUUAUGAAGACAAGGACUUGCCCAUGGAUUUUAAGAAGCACUAAGAUCAGUCUGAAAAUGGAGCCUGGGGAUGAGUGUGAGCCCCUCCUCUCCUAACAUGCACAAGGAGACAUGGAAGCAUGUGUGGCUUGGAUAUUUUGAGGACGGAAGAAUCUGUGGACCAGGUGGGAGGCAAAACAAGGCAAAGACAACAAAAGCAAAAUAAACAAAUGGGACUACGUCAAACUAAAAAGCUUUUGCACAGUGAAGGAAACCAUCAACAAAACAAAAAGUCAACUUAAUGGGAGAAGAUAUUCACAAAUGUUAUAUGAAAUAAGUGGUUGACAUCCAAAAUAUAUAAAGAACUCAUAAAACUCAAUAUAAAACAACGACUAUUGAUUAAAAAUGGGCAGAGGACUUGAAUAGACGUUUCUCUAAAGAAGAUAUACAGAUGGCCAACAGACACAUGAAAAGAUGCUCAAUAUCACUCAUCAUCAGAGAAAAUGCAAAUCAAAACCACAUUGAGAUAUCACUUCACACCUGUCAGAAUGGAGAGUAUCAAAAAGUUAAGAAUAACAGGUGUUGGUGGAAGAUGUGGAGAAAAUAGAACCUUCUGCAUGUUGGUGGGAAUGUAAAUUGGUUCAGCCACUCUGGGAAACAGUAUGGAGAUUCCUCAAAAAAUUAAAAACAGAACUACAAUAUGAUCUAGCAGUUCCACUUUUGGGCAUUUAUCUGAAGAAAAUGAAAACACCAAUCUGAAGAGAUAUAUACAGCCCCAUGUUCACUGAAGCAUUAUUUACAACAGCCAAGAUAUGGAAGCAAUUAAAGUGCCCAUCAAUAGAUGAAUGGAUAAAUUAGAUGUGGUAUAUACAUACAGUGGAAUAUUACUCAGCCACAGAAAAGAAUGAAAUCUUACCAUUUGUGACACCAUGAUGGACCCAGAAGGUA